rnacentral:rRNA from 1 species
AGAGAUGGAUUGGUGCCUUCGGGAACUCUGACACAGGUGCUGCAUGGCCGUCGUCAGCUCGUGUCGUGAGAUGUUGGGUUAAGUCCGUAACGAGCGCAACCCUUGUCCUUAGUUACCAGCACGUUAUGGUGGGCACUCUAAGGAGACUGCCGGUGACAAACCGGAGGAAGGUGGGGAUGACGUCAAGUCAUCAUGGCCCUUACGGCCUGGGCUACACACGUGCUACAAUGGUCGGUACAAAGGGUUGCCAAGCCGCGAGGUGGAGCUAAUCCCAUAAAACCGAUCGUAGUCCGGAUCGCAGUCUGCAACUCGACUGCGUGGAGUCGGAAUCGCUAGUAAUCGUGAAUCAGAAUGUCACGGUGAAUACGUUCCCGGGCCUU